rnacentral:rRNA from 1 species
UACGUAGGGGACUAGCGUUGUCCGGAUUUAUUGGGCGUAAAGAGCGUGUAGGCGGCCAGGUAGGUCUGGUGUGAAAACUCGAGGCUUAACCUCGAGAUGUCAUCGGAAACCAUCUGGCUAGAGUCCGGAAGAGGAGAGUGGAAUUCCUGGUGUAGCGGUGAAAUGCGCAGAUAUCAGGAAGAACACCAAUGGCGAAAGCAGCUCUCUGGGACGGUACUGACGCUGAGACGCGAAAGCGUGGGGAGCGAACAGG